AAACCAAGAAAUUGACACUUACUUGGAAACAUAGGUUUGUUGCAGAUAGUUUCUUGAGCUCAUUAACCAAUAGAACCCUUACAAAGCUAAUAAUUUUCCCUGAAAAAUCAUAUAUAAUAUAAAUAUCAAACAAAUUGUAUGUAAUAUAUGUCUAUGUAUGAUUGGUAACAUGAUCCUCAACAUAUUUUAUCUAUUAGGAGAAUCCAUAUUCCAAUUCCAAUAUUGAUUCAUAAAAACAAAAUAACCAUAAAAUCCAUAAAUCUAAAGAACAAUAUUUUUUUCAUUUAAACAACUUCAUAAAUUUAGUUACCUCUCCAUGUAGCUUUUUUCAUCUAAGAAAUGAAAUAUCGGACAAUCAAGAUCUGUCGGCAACCCAUGCAGUCUUGAUACAUCAUACGAACACCAAAAAUUGUUAAAAAAAAUGUCAAUAUGUCAACAUAUAUACCAAAAUCAUGUUCAAUAAAAAUAAUUACACAUAUAUAACUUAUCUCAGAACCGUUUAAGGAGCCAUCAGCAGUAAAUAAGACCUAUGUGUGAGGAAGAACCGAUUUUGAGUUAAAAAAACAUUUUCUGAUGGUUUCUCUUAAGAUUUUCCUGAAAAAAAUACAAAAAUUGAUUAGUUUAUGAAUGUGAUUUAGGCCUUUAUUUUUCAUUAUAUAUCAUCAAAACAAGGAUAAUGUAAUACGCAUUAUUUGAUGUUAACUGAGAUGAAACAAACAUAGCCCAGGGGCGGAACUAUAAAUAUUUAUUAGGUGUAGCACCAAAAAGAUUCCCGAACAAAAACAUGUAAAGGGCCUGUGGUUUUCAUUGUGCCUUUGGAGUCAGGAAGUCUACUCCCUGGCGGUCCUAAGGUUUUCAAUGAUCUGGAAAAAAUGACAUAAUAAUGCCCUUUUAUCAUACAAAUUUACAAGGUAUACCUGAUUUUAUAAAGGAACAAUAUAACAAAGUUUUUUAUUUAAGAAUUUAUAAUUCCCACAAACUCAAAUUUAGAAACUUCACUUAAAACAUGGACUUCUUGAAGCAAACAUAUUUAAACAAGAUAUGCUAUUAAACAAAAACUAAAUAUCAAAACAUAAAACCUGCAAUAAAUUUUGGAGUCAGGAAAUCUACUCCAUUCCCCGAUUAAUUUUUAAUCCUAUAACAUAUAACAAUAUUCAAUAAAACCUUGUAAAAUAAGUCCUACCUUUUUAACAAAUUCUAAAUUACAAAGGACAACAGAACCAAAGAGCAUAAAACCUUUAUGAUCCAAAGUAGGAUAGAUAUGGAAAGGCAAUAAAAUUCCAUAAGGAUUGAGUCAAUAGUCAACAGAUUAACAAAAAGAAAGAAAUGACUGAAAGGAGGAAAAGGCAUCUAUGAAGCUUCUCAACAAGCCAAUCAAAAUAAUAAACCAUAUCAUUUUGGGGUAACCUAAAAUUAGACAACAAUAUUAAUUAAAAGGAAACACACCUACAAUCAAUUAAUAGUCAACGGAUUAACCAAUUUGUUUUACCUUUUUAUGUUAAUCACCGGUAAUGGAACUGAAGAUGGAGAAACAACGAGAGUGAAGGCACUGAGGAUUGAGUAAUUAGUGGAUAAUUUAUUUCAUAUCUUCAUCUCUGUCCCAACUUUCUUCAAUUGUUAAUGCUUCGUACAUUAAAUCCUUAAACUGUACAAUCUGUGAAUGGAUAUUCAAAAUCCACAUUGAAAUCCAAAUAGAUAAAUUAAGUGAUGUUAAUGUAUAGAACUAAAAAGUUCAAAAUUAGGGAUUUGAUACAUACGUUCUAUUAAGAAUUUAUUGCAUCAGAAGCGUGAAUGUUAGUAUUUCUAGGGUUUGUCGAUCUAUGAAAUUAAACCAAUUGAACCCUAACCACUUUCGAAUACGGAUGCAAUUAUGAAUAAACAAGAACUUCCUGCUAAUCUCUCCUUCAAAUUUCUGAAAAUUAUACAAUAAAUCUUUGGGUUAGGGGUUUUCUGUUAGGUAUAUGGUAGAGAUAUGGAUAUAGAGGAUGAAAAUUUAACUAAAAGAAAGAUUCAAAGCCUGUAAAUUAAGAAGCAGACGCGUUUCAGCAACAAGAGAAGCAGCAACCAAUAAGAACCGACACAACCUCAACAUAACCCUGUUGGGUUUCUCCAAUCGUCGUGUAGAUCUAGAUGAGGGAUAGGGGUUGAAGAUCAGAAGGAUUCGGUGGUCGUGGUGGUCGCUAAUGGUUUCUAUUGAUGAAGGUUGUACGCGUGGAUGCUGCGUUUGGAUGUUAAACGGAUCAUCUAAGGACGACAUAUCUCUUCUUAAGUUUGUAGGAGGUUAUCAAUUAUGAGAAAGAGUAUAUGCGUUUGUAAGAGAAAGAGUGGUAGAUGAGUGUCGGCUUCUUUAGGGUUAGACAAAGAAAGGAGAGUGUCAGCAUCUUUAGGGUUACACAAAGGAAGGAGAGUGUUGUUAGAAAAAGGAAGUCAUAACUUUAUUUUCCUAAAAAUAAAAAUCUAUUUACCAGAUUAAAUGUAUGAAUGUAUUUAUUCUGAAGAAUGUUUAAAAUAUAUAUUGGAUUGAUUUUAUUUGGUUUUUAAAUACCGAUCCAACUUUUCCAUAACUCAUUUGUAUUUUCANAUAUAUAUAUGAUAAAACAUGUAAACAUUUAAAUUUUUAUUAUUUUCAAUAAGUUGAUGAUUUAUUUUGUUAAACAAAAUACAAGAAAUUGUUAUGUGAAAUAUAACUUUAAUUGAAAAAUAUUUCAGUGAUGGAUGAUCAUAUUACUGUUAAAAAUUUUUGACAUUGCGAAGCGUUUACAUAUGGUGGAACAUAUUAGCUGUUCGGGUUUUAUAUGUGUGGGACGACGUUGAAAAUAAUCGAGUCCUGAUUUGGUUGAUUGAUCGUAACGUAAGUAUGAAUACAAUAAAAUAAAUAUGACAUUUUUUUGGCUAAUUUUCAUUUUAUUAUUUACAUAAUUGGUAAUAUAUUACAUAUCCAGAGAGACAAAAUGAUCGCCAUCGUCCCACAAUGUUUGAGGCAAACAGUUUUGAACAUGAAUUUGGUUGGACGUGUAUUGUCCUUAAAUCAUUUCCAAGUUGAGCAGUUUUACGAAGAUCACCCCACGUAUUAAAGUUACAGAAUUUUUUUUGGUGAUUGGGCAAUAUUAAUAAAAAUUAACACAAUAUUUACUCGAUUGGGAAAUGAUGUCGCCAAUUCAUUUCCACAUUAUCCAUUAUGUUCUUCUAUCACAAGCCUCGCAAGAGAUUUUAGUCGUCGAAGAAUGAUCAUCGGUACAUUUAUAUAUUUAAUUAUAUAUAUUUUGUUUUUAUCAAUUGCAUACAACAAAUUAAAAUUAUAGUAAUUUUAAUAUGCUUUAGAUGUUAUUGGAAAAAUCGUUUGGGGAAGACGAAUCACGUCAUUCUAUGCAUUUGAAUUAUUUCUCCAAAAUGAGAUGUAAGUAUAUUUAAAUAUAUUAACCAAUUUUCAUUGUUAUUAUGUGUUUUAACAAAAUUUUGUUUAAAUGAAUAGGGGACAUAUUAUCAAGUUGAUAUUCAAUCACGUACCGAUGAGCUUUAUGAUACCACUGUAUCUUGCAAUAUUCAAUCAAUCCAUAAUUUAUGUCUCUAGGGUCAAGUUGGUCCACUUAAAUUUGUGUAAGUUAACCAUGGGCAACAUUAUAUAUAGUUUCAUUCUUUACAUGUUAUUUAUUUUAAUAUACCUUACUAACUAUAUAUUACAUGUCCAUACAGACAAUAUUUUGGUUUCUACUAUAUUAACUGAUGUCACGUUGCAUCCAAGGACACCGGAAGCUGAGCGAAUUAGGAUUCGAGAUAGAGAGAAUAAUUAAUUUUUCUAUAGUUAUUUGUUAGCGGAUCAUGUAGUAGUUAUUUGUUUGCGGAUUAUGUGGUAGUUAUACGUUUGCUGAUUUUUAGAAGGUUGUUUGCUUGCGUACUUUUUAUAUUUAUUUUUUGCUGAAUUUGUGACAUGGAUUUUUAGUAUUUUAUAAUGAUUUAAAACUUUUAAGUUUAUAAAUUUUAGUUUCUUUGUCUGACUAUUUUGUUUAUGUUAUUUAGUUUUCUUCUUUCUGUUUAUUAGAUAUUUAUACAUUUGUAUAAUAAGUAAAACAAAUAAUCUACCAAAUAAAAUUUACAAUAUCAUUUAAAUAUAAAUCAAUCAAUAUGCAUUCUUUCAAUUAUUGAAAAAAACUAUUAAAACAUGAAAGAAAUAUUUACCGAAAAAAACUAAUGAAACUUGAAAUAAAUAUAUAUUAACAAAAAACACAAAUUGUUAAAACAUUACUUCAAGUAUUAAAAAAAGCAGUAUAAUUUAAUGUAAGUAUCAAUCUCACAUAUAAAUAAUUAGUUCAACUCAAUCGGUAUUCAAUUAAUACGGUUAUAAGUAUUGUAUAUAAAAAUUAUUUUUUAUUACAAUGUGUUAUAAAAAAAUAAAAUUAUAUAUUAUUAAUUUCAUGUUUUUACAGUUGGCAUGAUGAUUGUAGAUAAAGAAAAUAGGCCUAAUGAGGCUAUCCAACUUGAUGUAAAUACACAAAAGGGUAUGUUUCAUAUGCGCAACAUGAUUAAUACGUUAUCUUUAUGCAUAAUUCAUCCAAAAAAAUUAUUGCAGAAAAAAGAAAAUUAUAUAAUAAGACAUAUUAUGAACGACUAAAGGAGAAGAAGAAAAUGAGACAAACAGCUAAUGGAGAAGUAAGUAGUCAAAACAUGACACCUAUGACAAAUGUGUCUACAACACAGAGGACCCUGGCUGAUAUUACUAAUGUAACUCCUACAAGUGUAUUGGAUUUUGCUCAAAGGAAAUCGAUUAAGAACAGAAAUGCAUAUCAACGACGCAAGGAACGAAACUCACCGACAACACCUAUUGAAAUUAGUCAUCAGGAUCCAUAUAGCUUUGUUUAUAAUGGUAUCCCUAAAGAACAUCGUGUUUUGAAGGUACAACAACCAUGUGUUCAUUGUGGAGCAAAACGAUUUCAGUUUGAAUUCCCUACCUUUUGUUGCAUGGAUGGUAAGACAAAGUUAUCACAUUCCUCUAUUCCUGAAGAAUUACUCAACCUCUUCACAUCCAGAAACGAAUUAGGUAGGACAUUUAGACAAAUGAUACGUUGCUACAACAGCAACUUUUCUUUCGCAUCAAUUGGCGUUAAUUAUGACAAAACAUUGACAAAUAUGACAUCUGGAGUAUACACCUUUUGUGUGAAUGGAGGAAUAUAUCAUAGAAUCGAUUAGUUGACUCCAAGAGAUGGAAUACCUCGGUACUUACAAUUGUAUUUUUACGACGCUGAUUAUGAGAUGUCACAUAGACUCCAAAGGAAGAAUAUUGAUAAAGAAAUUGCUGGAAAGUUGAUUCGUGUUCUUGCUACAAACCCAUACGUGAAGACAUUUCGAAGACUUGCUGAUCUAGUGCCGCUUGACAAUUAUAGAGUCACUUUAAAUGCAUCGGUAGAACUUGAUCAAAGGGUAUACAACCGACUAACCACAUCUGAGGUACCAUAAUAAUUAUUUUCUACUAAUUAUAAAAUAAAUAUACCACGUAUGAAAUACAACAGUGUAUAUUACACACCAUAUUUAAUCAUGUCGUUUGUAUCGUAAAAACCUCAGGUCGCUGGUAUUUGGGUUGAAGGUAACGACAACAUAGCCGCAUAUAAACGAAGUAUUAUCGUUUAUGGAAAAUCUGAGAAACCGCAAACAAUUCAAUCUUAUUGGGGAUGUUAUGAUCCAUUGUGUUAUCCUUUAUUUUUUCCUAACGGUGAGUCUGGAUGGCAUUUAAAAAUCCCAAGACAUGGAUUUUCCAUCAAUGAUAUUAUUAAUGACGAUGAAGACAUCGGGGAUGAUUUAGAAGGUACACAUAUCAUAACUUUUAAAAUUUUAGUUAAGUUAACAAACAUUACAUUUUGUACACAACAUUAAUUCUUAAUUUUUUUUUCACGACAUCAACAUUGGUUAGACUCUAAUACAAAAAAA
rnacentral:lncRNA from 1 species